UACGGGGGGAGCAAGCGUUGUUCGGAUUUACUGGGCGUAAAGGGCGCGUAGGCGGUCAGCACAAGUCAGUUGUGAAAUCUCCGGGCUUAACCCGGAAAGGUCAACUGAUACUGUGCGACUAGAGUGCGGAAGGGGCAACUGGAAUUCUCGGUGUAGCGGUGAAAUGCGUAGAUAUCGAGAGGAACACCUGCGGCGAAGGCGGGUUGCUGGGCCGACACUGACGCUGAGACGCGAAAGCGUGGGGAGCAAACAGG
rnacentral:rRNA from 1 species